rnacentral:rRNA from 1 species
CCUACGGUAGUCAGCAGUGAGGCAUAUUGGUCAAUGGCCGGAAGGCUGAACCAGCCAUGCCGCGUGAAGGUCAGUGCCCUAUGGGCGUUAAACUUCUUUUGUGCGGGAGUAAUAAUGGUCACGUGUGGCCAGACGAGAGUACCGUACGAAUAAGCAUCGGCUAACUCCGUGCCAGCAGCCGCGGUAAUACGGGGGAUGCAAGCGUGAUCCGGAUUUAUUGGGGUUAAAGGGUGCGUAGGCUGUGAGGUAAGUCAGCGGGGAAAUGCCCCCGCUCAACGGGGUGAAGUGCCAUUGAUACUGCCGUGCUGGAAUGCGGAUGCCGUGGGAGGAAUGUGUGGUGUAGCGGUGAAAUGCAUAGAGAUCACACAGAACACCGAUUGCGAAGGCAUCUCACGAAUCCGCGAUUGACGCUGAUGCACGAAAGCGUGGGUAUCAAACAGGAUUAGAUACCCCUGUAGUC